rnacentral:lncRNA from 1 species
UGAACCUUUCAGAGUUGCCUGGAGGUUGCUGCAGAUUAAUUCUCACUCUCUCUGUCUAGGUUUCUCUUCAGGUUUUGUCCAGGGUUUUGUUCCAAGGAAACCUCAGAGUGUUUUGCUUUUCUUCCUUUUUCUGUCUAUUCUCCCUCUUUUAUAACCUGAUUUUCAUGGCUUUGUGGGCUCAAAUGAGAGAGGUCUAAGUCCAAGAUUUUUCUAUUAUAUUUUAUUUAUUUAUUUAAUUAAUUAUUAUUUUUUUUUGUUUUU